rnacentral:rRNA from 1 species
AUACGGAGGAUGCGAGCGUUAUCCGGAUUUAUUGGGUUUAAAGGGUGCGUAGGCUGUGCGUUAAGUCAGGGGUGAAAUGCCGUCGCUCAACGACGGAGCUGCCCUUGAUACUGGCGUGCUGGAGUACGGAUGCCGUUGGAGGAAUGAGUGGUGUAGCGGUGAAAUGCUUAGAUAUCACUCAGAACACCGAUUGCGAAGGCAUCUGACGAAUCCGUCACUGACGCUGAGGCACGAAAGCGUGGGGAUAGAACAGGAUUAGAUACCCUGGUAUUCCACGCCGUAAACGAUGAUGACUAACCGUCGGCGAUAGACAGCCGGUGGCCAAGCGAAAGCGAUAAGUCAUCUACCUGGGGAGUACGUCGGCAACGAUGAAACUCAAAUGAAUUGACGGGG